CUUCAUCUUCAUCCAUACCAAGAUCUUCUAGCAUUGUCUUGAUAGUGACAGAACAUUUUGCAAUUUCUACAUCCACCUCAAACACCUCACCGUCAGAACUCUGCAGCUUAAUGUUAGGCAUCUGUACACACAAGUAUCAGAAUUAGCGAUAAACUCAUGAAAAAACUUUUGUGUUUUCAAGUCAGAGAAUUUUCACUUUUUAUAAGUUUAUAUGAAAAAAUUCAUCACUAGUCUCCUAGUUUAAAAUCGAUAUAAGUUUGCUACAUGUGCCACUCAACACAAAGCAAUAUCUAUCUACCAAUAUAUCAGAUAAUAAAACAAAUACAUAACCUAGUCUAGUAUUGGAAAGGAACAAAGUUCCAUUGCAACGGCUGAACUAAACAUGAUAACCAGACAGAUGGAUAUUUAACAUUAGACUUUAGUCACAAUGACUUUUAGGAAUAAAUAUUAGGAAUAAUAAUAAAUAUUAAGCACCAUAAUUUAGGAAAGUGAAAUUAUUUAAAACAAAAAAACAAAAUACACUAACACACUGCAAACUACAAAUUAGGAGUCAGUAAUGAAAACAAAAUAUUAGGUAUGAAAAACUCAUUUGAAGUAUAAAAUAUGCUCAAUAUUUAAUAUAUUGCUCAAUAUUUAAUAUAUUGCUGAUACUUUUUUCAUUGUGCACAGGGUCUUUUAUUUGUAUUUUAACGAUAUUUUAUUUAUAU